GGUGCGUGUGUGUGUGUGUGUGUGUGUGUGUACACACACACACACACACACACACACACACACACAAUGCCUU